rnacentral:lncRNA from 1 species
GGCCACGAUUCCGCUCCACUCCCUGCGGCGGAUCCUAUGUGGCUCCAUUACUCCCUGGCAGGCCGCAGUAACGGCCACGAUUCUGCUCCACUCCCUGCGGCGGAUCCUGAGUGGUUCCACCACUCCCUGACGAGUCACGACAACGGACGCCGUUCCACUCCCCGCAACUAAUUCCACGUGGUGAGCCAUGGUGACAGCCACGACUCCACCCCAUUACUCUUCAUGAUAAAUUCCUCCUGGCCCC